rnacentral:tRNA from 1 species
GCCUCUUUAGUAUUAAUAAGUACAAUUGACUUCCAAUCAAUUAGUUCCGGUACAGUCCAGAAAGAAGCA